rnacentral:rRNA from 1 species
UACGGGGGGGGCAAGCGUUGUUCGGAAUUACUGGGCGUAAAGGGCUCGUAGGCGGCCAACUAAGUCAGACGUGAAAUCCCUCGGCUUAACCGGGGAACUGCAUCUGAUACUGGAUGGCUCGAGUUUGGGAGAGGGAUGCGGAAUUCCAGGUGUAGCGGUGAAAUGCGUAGAUAUCUGGAGGAACACCGGUGGCGAAGGCGGCAUCCUGGACCAACACUGACGCUGAUGAGCGAAAGCCAGGGGAGCAAACGGG